rnacentral:rRNA from 1 species
GGCUCGACUCCGAUGCUCUAGAUUACGCGAAGAACUUACCUACACUUGACAUACAGAGAACUUACUAGAGAUAGUUUGGUGCCUUCGGGAACUCUGAUACAGGUGCUGCAUGGCUGUCGUCAGCUCGUGUCGUGAGAUGUUCGGUUAAGUCCGGCAACGAGCGCAACCCACAUCCUUAGUUGCCAGCAGUUCGGCUGGGCACUCUAGGGAAACUGCCCGUGAUAAGCGGGAGGAAGGUGUGGACGACGUCAAGUCCUCAUGGCCCUUACGGGUUGGGCUACACACGUGCUACAAUGGCAGUGACAAUGGGUUAAUCCCCAAAAACUGUCUCAGUUCGGAUUGGGGUCUGCAACUCGACCCCAUGAAGUCGGAAUCGCUAGUAAUCGCGUAACAGCAUGACGCGGUGAAUACGUUCCCGGGUCUUGUA